rnacentral:rRNA from 1 species
UACGUAGGGCGCGAGCGUUGUCCGGAUUUAUUGGGCGUAAAGCGCUCGUAGGCGGCUUGUCGCGUCGUUCGUGAAAACCUGCAGCUCAACUGCAGGCUUGCGGGCGAUACGGGCAGGCUGGAGUUCGGGAGGGGAGACUGGAAUUCCUGGUGUAGCGGUGAAAUGCGCAGAUAUCAGGAGGAACACCGGUGGCGAAGGCGGGGCUCUGGGCCGUACCUGACACUGAGGCGCGACAGCAUGGGGAGCAAACAGG